rnacentral:rRNA from 1 species
UGGGGAAUAUUGGACAAUGGGGGCAACCCUGAUCCAGCCAUGCCGCGUGAAUGAUGAAGGCCUUCGGGUUGUAAAGUUCUUUUGGCGGGGACGAUGAUGACUGUACCCGCAGAAUAAGCUCCGGCUAACUUCGUGCCAGCAGCCGCGGUAAUACGAAGGGAGCAAGCGUUGUUCGGAAUUACUGGGCGUAAAGGGCGCGUAGGCGGUUUAACAAGUCAGGCGUGAAAGCCCCGGGCUCAACCCGGGAAUAGCGUUUGAGACUGUUUUUCUAAGAGUUCGGAAGAGGUAAGUGGAAUUCCCAAUGUAGCAGUGAAAUGCGUAGAUAUUGGGAAGAACACCAGUGGCGAAGGCGGCUUACUGGUCCGACACUGACGCUGAGGCGCGAAAGCGUGGGGAGCAAACAGGAUUAGAUACCCAGGUAGUCCCUGAGCGGGCUGGCAAGGCGCAU